rnacentral:rRNA from 1 species
AGGGGAUCGUAAGACCUUGCGCUUUUGGAGCGGCCGAUGUCUGAUUAGCUAGUUGGUGGGGUAAUGGCCUACCAAAGCUUCGAUCAGUAGCUGGUCUGAGAGGACGGCCAGCCACACUGGGAAUGAGACACGGCCCAGACUCCUACGGGAGGCAGCAGUGGGGAAUUUUGGACAAUGGGCGCAAGCCUGAUCCAGCCAUGCCGCGUGAGUGAAGAAGGCCUUCGGGUUGUAAAGCUCUUUCAGCCGGGAAGAAAAGGCUGCGACUAAUAAUCGCAGUUCAUGACGGUACCGGAAGAAGAAGCACCGGCUAAAUACGUGCCAGCAGCCGCGGUAAUACGUAGGGUGCGAGCGUUAAUCGGAAUUACUGGGCGUAAAGGGUGCGCAGGCGGUUUUGUAAGUCAGAUGUGA